rnacentral:Y_RNA from 1 species
GGCUCAUCUGAGUGCAGUACUGUUUACAGCUAAUUGAUCACAACCAGUUAUAGAUUUCUUUGUUCCUUUUCUAGUCCCCUUGCUUCACUUGACUAGGCAAAU